rnacentral:rRNA from 1 species
AGUGAACGCUGGCGGUAGGCCUAACACAUGCAAGUCGAACGGCAGCACAGUAAGAGCUUGCUCUUACGGGUGGCGAGUGGCGGACGGGUGAGGAAUACAUCGGAAUCUACUUUUUCGUGGGGGAUAACGUAGGGAAACUUACGCUAAUACCGCAUACGACCUACGGGUGAAAGCAGGGGAUCUUCGGACCUUGCGCGAUUGAAUGAGCCGAUGUCGGAUUCGCUAGUUGGCGGGGUAAAGGCCCACCAAGGCGACGAUCCGUAGCUGGUCUGAGAGGAUGAUCAGCCACACUGGAACUGAGGCACGGUCCAGACUCCUACGGGAGGCAGCAGUGGGGAAUAUUGGACAAUGGGCGCAAGCCUGAUCCAGCCAUACCGCGUGGGUGAAGAAGGCCUUCGGGUUGUAAAGCCCUUUUGUUGGGAAAGAAAAGCAGCAGGUUAAUACCCCGCUGUUCUGACGGUACCCAAAGAAUAAGCACCGGCUAACUUCGUG